GACGAACGCUGGCGGCGUGCCUAAUACAUGCAAGUCGGACGCAGUUGCGAACGGGUUAGUAACGCGUCGGUCACUGCCUAUUAGAGGGGGAUAACUAUUGGAAACGAUAGCUAAUACCGCCUCCUAGUAGAUGGACCUGCGUUGUAUUAGCUAGUAGGUAGGGUAAUGGCCUACCUAGGCAACGAUACAUAGCCGACCUGAGAGGGUGGUCGGCCACAAUGGGACUGAGACACGGGCCAGACGCCUACGGGAGGCAGCAAGAGGGGAACUUCGGAAAAGGGGGGAAAGCUGGCCGAGCAACGCCGCGGGGGUGGAGAAAGUUUUCGGGUCGGAAAACUCUGUUGUUAAGGAAGCGGUACUUAACGAGGAAGCAACGGCUAACUACGUGCCAGCAGCCGCGGUAAUAC
rnacentral:rRNA from 1 species